GGAACAUGGGUGUAAAGCAUAGGUUGGAGCCGUAUUUGCGGCAUAACAGGCGGAAUGGGAGAUCGCUUUGGUCCACCAUCGGUGCAACUACAAGUGCCUUAUCUUUGAGGAUUGGGUCAUCGUUGUGUUGGCUGUGAGGC
rnacentral:rRNA from 16 species